GCCUGCGCCUCGGUCGCCUUGGUUACCGCGUUGCCACGUCCCCAUAGCAACCAGAAUGCCUCGUCCUGCCUGUGUCUGCCGGCAGAGGGAGCAGGGGAGCCCCGCGGGAGGAAGAAGCGAGAAAGGGGCAGCCGCCGGGAAGGGCGGGAGAGCCUUCUAUGUACUAUUUGAUAUAUCCUCACAACAACCCAAUUUUUGUCCAAGAAGAUUAGACUCAUAAAAUGUAACAAAUGUUGCCCAGAAUUACGAAGCUACCAAGGACCCACCCAGAGAAUGAAUCCAAGCGGCUCAGCCUUGGAACUCUCCCACAUAGGCUGUUCAGUGGCUUACCCAAGGUUCCGGGAAGCACGGUCCAGGACUCUCUGCUUCAUACCAAAACCAUGACCCAGGAGGACGUGUGGGAUAAAAGGUCGAAGCUUACAUGAAGACACAUGUCCACAGGCAUGCAUACGCCACCAAGGUGAUGUUAAAUGUGGAGAAAACAAUCUAAGAAGGAGGUUGUAUGGGUAUCAGUGAACCAUCGCAAAGGGCUUUGAGGAGAAAAUAUACAUCCGUUCUUUUCCAUGAUGUGUUCUAGAUUUUUGUCCUUUUCAUUCAAGGAAUGAGCCAGUAUGGAUACAAAUUAACCAAGUUCAAAGGAUUGUAGAAUGUAGUCUCGAGCUGGAUACAAGGU